AGGGAUUUAGCUUAGCGGUGUAAGCGCCUGUCUGGCAAGCAUGAGGCUGUGAGUUCAAUCCCCA
rnacentral:tRNA from 1 species